rnacentral:snRNA from 1 species
AGCACCUGUAGCACUUAAUACUAAAAUUGAACAAUACAGAGAGGAUUAGUGUGGNCCUGCACAAAGAGGACAUGCAAAUUUGUGAAGUGUUNCAUAUUUUU